AGAGUUUGAUCCUGGCUCAGGAUAAACGCUGGCGGCGUGCAUAACACAUGCAAGUCGAACGAUGAACCUUAUUAGAUUUCUUCGGAAUGAAAAUAAGUGGAUUAGUGGCGAACGGGUGAGUAACACGUGAGUAACCUGCCUUACACAAGGGGAUAGCCUUUGGAAACGAAGAAUAAUACCCUAUAAAGUCAAAAUAUCGCAUGAUAUAGUGACCAAAGAUUUAUCGGUGUAAGAUGGACUUGCGUCUGAUUAGCUAGUUGGUGAGAUAAAAGCCCACCAAGGCGACGAUCAGUAGCCGGCUUGAGAGAGUGUACGGCCACAUUGGGACUGAGACACGGCCCAAACUCCUACGGGAGGCAGCAGUGGGGAAUUUUGCACAAUGGGGGAAACCCUGAUGCAGCGACGCCGCGUGAUUUAGAAGGCCUUCGGGUUGUAAAAAUCUUUUUUAUGGGAUGAAAAUGACAGUACCAUAAGAAUAAGGUCCGGCUAAAUACGUGCCAGCAGCCGCGGUAAUACGUAUGGACCGAGCGUUGUCCGGAAUCAUUGGGCGUAAAGGGUACGUAGGCGGCCUAGUAAGUUAGAAGUGAAAUAAUAUAGCUCAACUAUAUAAAGCUUUUAAAACUGUUAGGCUUGAGAGAUGAAAGGGAAAGUGGAAUUCCUAGUGUAGCGGUGAAAUGCGCAGAUAUUAGGAAGAAUACCGGUGGCGAAGGCGACUUUCUGGUCAUCAUCUGACGCUGAGGUACGAAAGCGUGGGUAGCAAACAGGAUUAGAUACCCUGGUAGUCCACGCUGUAAACGAUGAGUGUUAGGUUCUUGGAAUAAUCUGGGAGCCGCAGCUAACGCAUUAAACACUCCGCCUGGGGAGUACGCACGCAAGUGUGAAACUCAAAGGAAUUGACGGGGACCCGCACAAGUAGCGGAGCAUGUGGUUUAAUUCGAAGCAACGCGAAGAACCUUACCUAAGCUUGACAUCCCUUAGACCGGUGUUUAAUCACACCUUCCCUUCGGGGCUGAGGUGACAGGUGGUGCAUGGUUGUCGUCAGCUCGUGUCGUGAGAUGUUGGGUUAA
rnacentral:rRNA from 1 species